UGUUUUAAAAAAAAAAACCAUUCCUCCUUUUUUUUUCUCUGCAAAACCUCUCCCCUUUCUAAACGCCGACUUAGGCUCUGGCGAUUGGCCACCGCGCCUCCGCCAUAGACGGUGGUCGGAGGUUUGCAAAAUCGAGUCUUUUCGACCCUUUUUAAACCCUCUUUCCUCCUUUUUGAAGAAAACUUUCAAAUCUGAUUUUUUAGAAAUAAAGAAUACUACGCAAAAGGAAACAACGACCCUCGUCUCCCUUUCAAACCCUCAUUAGAACCCAUAUGGGUUUGAGUAUUCAAACGCCAGCGACAUUCGACUGUGGGGGAAACCAAUCGACGAGGGAAGAAGUCAACGAGGUAGAGGUUUUCCAUUUUGGUGCAAGAGAGCUAGGGGUGGUCAGGCCUCGAGCAUUGGACGUGCUGACCAGGCAUGUGGGGAGCGGCGCACACUGCUGCUAAGGUUUUCGUUUCUGCUAAUUCUUGAGGGUUAUGGGCUUGUAAUAUUUUGGGCUAGGAUAGUGUUUGGGCCUAUUAAUUAUUUUAUUUUUUUAUUUUGAUUUGUUUCUUUGUUUGAAGUCCGGACAAAAAUGGGCCAUAACAUUAGUGAAUAAACUAAAUGUUUGGAAAGAGUUACAUGAAA